rnacentral:rRNA from 1 species
GACGAACGCUGGCGGCGUGCCUAAUACAUGCAAGUAGGACGCAGUUGCGAACGGGUGAGUAACGCGUAGGUAACUACCUAUUAGAGGGGGAUAACUAUUGGACACGAUAGCUAAUACCGCAUACUCGUAGAUGGACCUUCGUUGUAUUAGCUAGUAGGUAGGGUAAUGGCCUACCUAGGCAACGAUACAUAGCCGACAUGGGAGGGGGAUGGGGCACACUGGAAAGGAGACGCGGGCCAGAAUCCUACGGGAGGGAGCAGUAGGGAAACUUGGGAAAUGGGGGGAACACUGACCGAGCAACGCCGCGUGAGUGAAGAAGGUGUUCGGAUCGUAAAGCUCUGUUGUGAAGGAAGCGGUACUUAACCAGAAAGGGACGGCUAACUACGUGCCAGCAGCCGCGGUAAUUC